AUCUUGAACAAGGAAUAUCUAGUAAACGCAAGUCAUCAACUUGCAUUGAUUACGUCCCUGCCCUUUGUACACACCGCCCGUCGCUUCUACCGAUUGAAUAAUGAGGUGAAUUAGGUGGAUAAGAGCCGCCUCGGCGCGUUCUUAGAAGCUUUGUGAACCUUGUUAUUUAGAGGAAGGAAAAGUCGUAACAAGGUUUCCGUAGGUGAACCUGCGGAAG
rnacentral:rRNA from 1 species